GGAAGGAAGGAAGGAAGGAAGGAAGGAAGGAUUCAGAUCUAAGAGUGACCCCAAGCAUGGCAGCGGGUCGCGAUCUCACAGCUGGAGCACCGUUUAUACUGACCAUUUAAGGCCCUUUCUAACAUUUACUGAGGAAAGUGCUUUCUCUGUGCAGAUUAUUACAUAGGAAAUCUUGGAACCAGUUUGAGACCGAAUGGUGAUUGCACAAGACAGUGCUUCCUUUCUGAUGCGGUUCUGGGAGUUUGUUGACUGGCCACCACAGUUAGAAGCUACCUUCAUAGAAUCAUAGAAUCAAAGAGUUGGAAGAGACCUUGGCAUCUAACCCCCUGCCAAGAAGCAGGAAUAUUGCAUUCAAAACACCCCUGAUAGAUGGCCAUACAGCCUCUGUUUAAAAGCUUCCAAAGAAGGAGCCUCCACCACACUCCGGGGCAUAGAGUUCCAUUGCUGAACGGCUCUCACAGUCAGGAAGUUCUUCCUCAUGUUUAGAUGGAAUUUCCUUUCUUGUAGUUUGAAGCCAGAGAAACAGAAAACAAGCUUGCUCCCUCCUCCCUGUGGCUUCCUUUCACAUAUUUAUACAUGGCUAUCAUAUCUCCUCUCAGCCUUCUCUUUUUCAGGCUAAACAUGCCCAGCUCCUUAAGCCACUCCUCGCAGGGCUUGAUCAGACCCUUGAUCAUUUUAGUCGCCCUCCUCUGGACACAUUCCAGCUUGUCAAUAUCUCUCUUGAAUUGUGGUGCCCAGAAUUGGAUACAAUAUUCCAGGUGUGGUCUAACCAAAGCAGAAUAAAGGGGUAGCAUUACUUCCCUAGAUCUAGGGAAACUGCAUUAGAUGGGGCCUGAUAUCCCUAAUGUAAAGAGACAAGUUUAGAGUGCAGAAUUCAUUCCCACAUAAGAGGGACAGUAGUUCCCAAAGAAGAUCAAAGCAGUCCAUACUCCAGGAAAUAAUGCCCAGCUGCUCAUUGGAGGGAAGGAUAGGUAAAGAGUUUGCUGAAGCUGCAAAGAGGAGGACUGACUGAUACUUCUAGAGCAGAUUUCACUAACAACAUGGGGCCCAAUACAGAAUAAAAUAUAUCUGGUCGACAGCGAAGUCCAGUGCAAUUGACUCCAGCAGUCACUCUGAAUGCUGGGAAUACAAAGAGCUUGAUGAUGGUGACAAUGAUGAUUGGCCAGCAUUCUCUAUCAGUGUAUGUAUCCUUCUUUGACACAACCUCCUUCCUUGCACCAGUUUGAUUAAAGCAUUAUUCACCCAUGUUUGAACUACUGGCAAAGUUGACCCUCUUUUCCUUAUUCAGGGGAAGUUACAAUCAUAGUAAUUGUGUCACAAACUUAAUGAAGUGGGAAUUUUAGAUAUGGAACAAUUACUUACAUUUACUCAUAAUUUUUUUCCACAGGGGGAAAAUGUUAUUUAGGGAGCCAAAAAUGUGUGAAUAGAAUAUGCCCAUAGCAUUUUCUGGACAAGAAAAAAAAUCAAUAUAUAAUUUUUCUGUACUAAAAACAAUAUAACAACCAGAAAUAUUAUUUUCUGGA